rnacentral:rRNA from 1 species
GGUAAUGCCGUGCCAGCGGGCGCGGUAAUACGGAGGGUCCAAGCGUUAUUCGGAAUCAUUGGGUGGAAAGGGUCCGUAGGCGGCGUUAGAAGGCAGUGGUGAAAUCUCCUAGCUCAACUAGGAAACUGCCAUUGAUACUGUAGGGCGUGAAUUUUUGUGAAGUAACUAGAAUAUGUAGUGUAGCGGUGAAAUGCUUAGAUAUUACAUGGAAUACCAAUUGCGAAGGCAGGUUACUAACAAACGAUUGACGCUGAUGGACGAAAGCGUGGGGAGCGAACAGGAUUAGAUACCCCAGUAGUC